rnacentral:ribozyme from 1 species
CUAUUUCUCAUUUUCUCGUUUCCUCGUAAAUUUAUUUAUGCCAUAUAUUAUUGCGUCUAUAUUAUUGAUUUAAGUGGC